ACGUUCGUCUUAGUCGGAAAAAUAAUAAUGAAUAAUAAUUGUUUAUCCGUUUUUUAACAGGGUCUUUUAACAGUACCGAAUGAGAUCGUUACGGCAAACUUCUGAAAUUGACUCGAAAAAAAGAAACAAGCACAUAUAGUCUGGUAUAGUCAAAUACUCUCUAAGUUAACCAGUGCCAUUUUUCAUUUCUUUUUUCUUAUUUUCAAUAAUUCGGCGUAUGUGGGACAGAGGACAAACACAGACUUUCAACACAAAAGCGGCGUAAAAGGUUAUUUCAAACAAUUGUCAAUUCGACGGAUGGUGUUUCUGAAGGUUUAUAUUGUGCGGGAACAUCAUAAAGAUCUGAAAUUGAUACAUGCUUAAUCUCUAGUAUUACCGGACAAUAAAGUAGGUGAAUACUGUUGUUACUCUUGGAAAUUUAAAUGUUGGUUUCAAACGUCCAAUUUGCGAUAUCUUUUUUCAAAUAGUGCGCCAGCAAGGAAAAUUUGUACUAUGACGUCAGAUGCAAUGUUCUGAAGAAAGACAACUCUUUUCUUCAAAACGAACGAGAAAAAAAACAUAAAAAAUACUCAGAACUUUUUUGAAAGAGGACAGCUUUAUUCAUAUUUUACAUACUCAUGCAAAGAAAAGAGUGGAAAAGAAAUUGGCCAGUUUUGCUGAAAGUGCAGCUCUUAGUACAAUAAAGAAUGCUGUGAAAGGAUUUGAAGAUUCCAACAUUGUUAAUGUAUAUUAUGCUGGUUAUGUUCGAAUGAUGGAACUUAGAGAUCAUUAUACAGUGUGGAACAAAUUAAACUACAUCUAGAUCUUCUGGAAAGUCUGAGAAACUAGUGGAAUAUUCAGAAGAAAUUGAACUAAUAUCUAGAUCUACUCGAAAGUCUGAGAAACUAGUGGAAUACUCAGAAGAAAUUGAACUAAUAUCUAGAUCUACUGGAUGGUGUUUUAUUAAAUGGUGCUUAUUUGUUACAUUGUCUAAUUAUUUGUUGAAUAUUGCAAGGAAUCAGAAGAUGAGAGGUGGAAACCUAGUGUUUAUCUGGUUCUAAUCUGAUUUAUGACAAGAAAGCCUAGAGCUAAUUUUCUUGGAAGAAAAUUGUUGAAAAGAAUGUUGUUAUGUCAAAUAAAAAUGCUUUUUCUUA